rnacentral:rRNA from 1 species
CCUACGGGGCGCAGCAGUGGGGAAUAUUGCACAAUGGGGGAAACCCUGAUGCAGCAACGUCGCGUGAAGGAAGACGGUUUUCGGAUUUGAAACUUCUUUUCUUAGUGACGAAUAAUGACGGUAGCUAAGGAGCAAGCCACGACUAACUACGUGCCAGCGGCCGGGGUAAUACGUAGGUGGCAACCGUUGUCCGGAAUUACUGGGUGUAAAGGGGUCGCAGGGGGGAAUCCCAGUUGGCUGUGAAAACUACGGGCUUAACUUGUAGCCUGCAGUUGAAACUGGUUUUCUUGAGUGAGGCAGAGGUUGGCGGAAUGCGUAGUGUAGCGGUGAAAUGCGUAGAUAUUCGGAGGAACCCCGGUGGCGAAGGCGGCCAACUGGGCUUUAACUGACGCUGAGGCUCGAAAGUGUGGGGAGCAAACAGGAUUAGAUACCCGUGUAGUC